rnacentral:rRNA from 1 species
AUUGAACGCUGGCGGCAGGCUUAACACAUGCAGGUCGAGCGGAGUGAUGGUGCUUGCACUAUCACUUAGCGGCGGACGGGUGAGUAAUGCUUAGGAAUCUGCCUAUUAGUGGGGGACAACAUCUCGAAAGGGAUGCUAAUACCGCAUACGUCCUACGGGAGAAAGCAGGGGAUCACUUGUGACCUUGCGCUAAUAGAUGAGCCUAAGUCGGAUUAGCUAGUUGGUGGGGUAAAGGCCUACCAAGGCGACGAUCUGUAGCGGGUCUGAGAGGAUGAUCCGCCACACUGGGACUGAGACACGGCCCAGACUCCUACGGGAGGCAGCAGUGGGGAAUAUUGGACAAUGGGGGGAACCCUGAUCCAGCCAUGCCGCGUGUGUGAAGAAGGCCUUAUGGUUGUAAAGCACUUUAAGCGAGGAGGAGGCUCUUUUGGUUAAUACCCAAGAUGAGUGGACGUUACUCGCAGAAUAAGCACCGGCUAACUCUGUGCCAGCCGCCGCUGUAA